rnacentral:lncRNA from 1 species
GGCAACGGAUUGCGUGCUGGCGACAGAAGAUGAGGUGAUGCGUGCCACCUCCAGACCUGGUCGUCACCCCGACUGUCUGCAUUCUUCCUUCUUGCUCCCCGAUGACGUGCUGGAGGUCACACACUGGAGAUGAGACGGCAGAGCGCGGCUCCCCAGGGCGCCGACAGCAGCUGCCCAGGGCAAUGCGGACAGGCUGCGGAAGGACGGGCUCGCACCCAAGCCAGCGCGAGGCGUCAAGCGAGCGCCCCAGAUCGCCCCAGAUCCUCCUGUGCCUGGCCUGGUCGCUCGGCAAUUCCGAUGAACAAGUUUGGCUACUGAAGUCCUAUAAAGGUUCAUUCACUUUUGUCCCAAUAUUUUAAUACAAAAAAUUUCGAACAUAUGGAAAAUUUGAUGUAAUUUUACAGUGAACACUCGCCCCCCAGAUUCUACCCUUAAUAUUCCACCACGUUUGCUUCACACACAUCCAGCCUUCCAGCCGCCCGAGAAUUCUCACCUUUUACAGAGUAAGCUGCAGACAGCUGUCCCCACCCCGCAAGCACGUUUGUCUGCCGGCAUGUUAUUAACCAGAGUUCAAUGUUUGCUUAUACUUUUCCACUUUGAGGUAAAUCUUACAUAUAGUGGGGGCACCUGAGUGGGUGUUGGUUAAGCAUCAGCCUUGGGCUCAGGUCAUGGUCUCAGGGUCCUGGGAUCGAGUCCUGCGUUGGGCUCCCGGCUCAGCGGAGGGCCUGCUUCUCCCUCUGCCUCUGCUCUCCCUGCCACUUGUGUGCUCUCUCUCUCUCUCUCUCUGUCAAGUAAAUCUUACACAUAAUGAAAUGUGCAGAUCUCAGGUGUUCCUUUGCUGAAUUUAGACAAAACAGGUACAAAUCCUCUCACCAUACACAACACUCCCAACAUUCCUGAAAAUUCCCUCAUGUCCCCUCCUGGUCGCUCCCUGACUCCAGCCCCCCAAAACAGUCCCUGCUUUGAUUUGUUCUACCACAGAUUCGUUUUCCCUAGAGUCCAGAAUCUCAUAUAAAUGGCAUCAUAAGUUAUGAAAUUAUUCAGGUAAGGCUUCCUUCACUCAGCAUUACGAUUUUGUGAUUCACCCAUGUUCUUGCGUGUGUUAGUGAAUCAUUCUUUUUAUUGCCGAGAAGUAUUCUUUUGAAUAUGCCAUGAUUUGUGUAUCCACUGAUGGACACCUGGGCUCUUUCCAGGGUUUGGAAAUUAUGGAGAGAGAUGAUCGGAGUAUUCUUGUUCAAGACUUUCUGUGAAUUUGGGUGUCUUUUCGCUGCUUCGCCAUGCUACCUUUGAAUUAUCAUGAUUUCCGUUUUAAUUGCCCGUAAUGCUGUUUUUACCCUCUGAUAAUAAUAAUAAUCCCAUUUCUGGAAUGCUUACUACAGUGACAGGCCCUUUAAUUUCUCCUUAUAAGAAUCCUGCAAAAUAGGUAUAAUUACAUCCGUUUUACAUACGAAGGGACAGAUGUGGGCUCAUUAAGUGAGUUUCGUGUGUGGACUCCAAGUCAUCCCUCAUCUGAGGCCCUCUCCAGACUGCUCGGGGCUCCCUGGGGAUGGGACAGUGGCUCCUGAGUAAGCCACCUGGACCUUUUUUCUCAAUUCUUGGAGGGGCAUCUAGAUCUGAACAUUACGCUGCUCUACCGAUUUUAAUAAUAUUGUUAGUAGGCUUUCUGCUGUUGUAGUAUGACAUGCUUUCCGUGUUCUGUUGUUUUAUUUUUAAUGCACACUUUGUAGAAUUUUGUUGCACAAAGAUUGAU